UACGAAGGGGGCUAGCGUUGCUCGGAAUGACUGGGCGUAAAGGGCGCGUAGGCGGCCUGUUAAGUCGAACGUGAAAUCCCCGGGCUCAACCCGGGAACUGCGUCCGAUACUGGCAGGCUUGAAUCCGGGAGAGGGAUGCGGAAUUCCAGGUGUAGCGGUGAAAUGCGUAGAUAUCUGGAGGAACACCGGUGGCGAAGGCGGCAUCCUGGACCGGCAUUGACGCUGAGGCGCGAAAGCCAGGGGAGCAAACGGG
rnacentral:rRNA from 1 species